CUAUUUUACCAUGUAAGAAAAAUACUCAUAGGUUCUGGGGAUUAGGGAGUGAACUUUUAUUAGAGGAGGGGAGAAUAUUCUUCCUACCGCAAUAAUUGUGUUUACUUAUCCAUGAACACUGUCUCUCAUGCAGAUCACAUAAGUGUAAGUUUGGGGAGGAAGAGAAUGGUAUUUGUCUUCAUAUCAAUGCUUCAGUUCCUAGCAAAGUGUCUGGUAUGUAGUAGAUUCUAUGCGAGGCAUUGCAGGUGCAUCAGACAAAAUUAGACAAAGUCUCCUCCCAUGAACAGCAUGUUAACAGUCUAGAAGGAUUAAAAAGGGAAGGCUGUUUUCAAUGAAGUUCAAACUAUCUCCAAACGUCAGUAGUUCAAAACAACAUACGUUGAUUUCUCACCAGUACCUGGUGUCCAUGUUGGCCAUGGUGGUUCUCAUCAGGGGCCCAGGCCCAGGCCGAGGGCCUCCACCUUGGUCAAGAGCCUCACUGGUGGUCGUGGCAGUCGGGCAGGCUGGGCGCUACCUCUUACCUGCCUGCCUCUCAAAAGUGAAGCCCAGAGCUUUCUUUCAGGUUCUGUUUACUAAAGGAAGACACACGGUCACACCUGAGUCAAAGCACAGGAUAUGCCAAACACGGUCCAUGCCCUAAAGAUUGAGAAUUGGAAUAUUAUGAGCAGCCCUGAGGUCUCCCAAAACACACAAACAAAUUCAUACUCUUGAGUUCAGCUUUUCUCCACGUGUUAUUCCAUCCUCACAUCAAAUGUCCCCAAUUGUCUGCAAUGUGACUUUAUGUCCGAUUACAUCAGGCAUUCAGCGUCUCGUGGGUCCCGUUACUGUAACCCACACAUGGGGCCUAGGCGUCUAUUCCUUGCUUAGUACAGGUGGCUCCCUUGGAGAGCAGAACUCGGUCAUUACUCGUUGGCUCUUCCAAGUGUCUGUUCUUGGAGGGGUGCCAAUCUGAUGGUUGGGGUCACUCCGUGGACCCACACCCGAGAACUACCCCUGGGCUACACUGGCUUAGCACUGUGUGGGCCCAGGUGCUGUCGUUCUGGAACUUGAAACCCACUAAGAUGAUGUGAUAACUAUCUGUUGGUUGUUCAAAGCUCUGGCUGAUUUCUCAGGAGGCAAAACCAUCCUUGCCUCGGUGUAGAUUGGCUACGAGGCCUGUGAUGUGGGGGGCGAGGCCUGGCACGUUCAGCCCAGCCCUCGGCCCCGUGCCCGGCUGCUGUCAAGCUGCUUCCUGUCCCUUGGGCCACACAGAGCGGUGACGGUCAUCUCAGUGCAGUCCCCGGGGCGCGGGCAGCAGACACGGGCACCAGGCCACGGCCUCCGUGCAGACCGUGGAGCACGGCACCCAGGACGCAGCUGGAGGCCCAGACCCUUCUCCCGCUGCUGCAGGGCCCAGAAACGCUGAAACACGGGCUUGUGGGCACUGGGCGACGUAUUCCAGAUGGGAAGCCUGCACUUUCCCACUGUGCCUCUUGGUGGGGAGUUGAGGUAAAGCAAAAUAUCUGCUCAAAUUAGUAUUUUUUCUCCCAUGUCCAAACUGGGAGGAAAUCAUCCACAAAGCGAAGCUCAGGUGUUUAUUGCUGUUUGUGGGUUUUUACACUGGAUGAGCAAAUUAGGCAAAUGAGCAGCGUGGAUACGAGGGUUGGGGUGGGAAGCUGCCACCUAACAAUCAGCGUGAGCCCCGUGGGCUGGAGCCGAACACCCAUGUGGGUUGAUGCAACUGAUGUCAAAUUACAAGAUUUGAGGGACAACUGGUAUCGAUUGAACACUUGCAGUUCUCUUUGUCUUUGUAUGUUUGUUUGUCUGGGGGGAGGUGGUCUUUAUUCUGUGUGUGUGUGUGUGUGUGUGUGUUGUUUGCUUGUUUGUCAGUAAAUUGUUAAUCGCCUAAAAUGAAACAAAAGCAAACAACUCCUAGAACUUCUUUUCCUCAUCAUUACCACACAGCCACAAAUGUUUGCUUCUUCCUUUGGGGGAAAAGAAGGGGGCUUUUGGUCUGAGCUUUUUCAGAAGUCGGAGUUUUAUCUGUGCUUUUUUGAUAUACGUUAAAGCUCUUCAUGUCUCCCUCUUGGA